AAUUGGAUUUGUCAUAAUCAUCUUAAAACCUUAUCCACAAAAAUUUAUUUUGGGGCUUCAAUGGCCUCAAAAACAUCAUCCAGACAUCCACAAACUACUACAAACUUUAGCAUAUGAAACUCUGAAACAAUAUUAGCUCAAGCUCAAUGGCUUUAUUUUAGGACCUUCAAUCUUCCAUUGAUGCUUCCAGCAUUGAACUGGUGGUUGCAACUUGCAACUCCAUUUGAAGAUGUCGAAACAGAUGAGGGACCAUCAUAAGCCUCAAAUUUAAAAGGGGAACCAAUUCAUAUUCUCCACUCAUGUUCUUGAGAAGUUAACCAUUGAAGCUUGAGAAGAGAUGGUAAUAGGCAAGUAAUAAACAAUGGUGGGUUUAAAGUUCAAACCAAUCGCAAGUAGGUGAUAAUUCGAACUACAGAAACUAAUCAGGUUACCUUGGAUGGCAAUAUUACUGACUAAAAAGAAGUUUGUUUGUUGGGUUUACCUGUGAAUACAAGAAGGUUCCAAGGAUAGCGAUGGCAGCUCCGAGUGCAUUGACGGGUUGAACUGGUGUAUGGAAGAUAAUGAUUGAAGAAACUAUAACAGAUAUACGCUUCAUGGUGUUUCCAAUGCUAAAUGUCAAAGGAGAGAUCUCAUCCAAAGACAUGUAGGACACCUGAUUGUACAAAUGAUAAAAUACGCUCUGAGCCGCCAACCACC